rnacentral:rRNA from 1 species
CUCAACGACCGUACCGCAAACCGACACUGCUGCGCGAGAUGAGUAUUCUAAGGCGCUUGAGAGAACUCAGGAGAAGGAACUCGGCAAAUUGACACCGUAACUUGGGAAGAAGGUGUGCCCUAUUAGUGUGAAGUGAACAACGGGGCAUGAAUGGGUUGCAAAAAAUCGGUGGCUGCGACUGUUUAUUAAAAACACAGCACUCUGCAAACACGAAAGUGGACGUAUAGGGUGUGACGCCUGCCCGGUGCUGGAAGAUUAAAUGAUGGGGUGCAAGCUCUUGAUUGAAGUCCCAGUAAACGGCGGCCGUAACAAUAACGGUCCUAAGGUAGCGAAAUUCCUUGUCGGGUAAGUUCCGACCUGCACGAAUGGCGUAACGAUGGCCACACUGUCUCCUCCUGAGACUCAGCGAAGUUGAAAUGUUUGUGAUGAUGCAAUCUCCCCGCGGAAAGACGGAAAGACCCCAUGAACCUUUACUGUAGCUUUGUAUUGGACUUUGAACAGAUCUGUGUAGGAUAGGUGGGAGGCUUUGAAGCAGGGUCGCUAGAUCUUGUGGAGCCAACGUUGAAAUACCACCCUGGUGUGUUUGAGGUUCUAACCUAGGUCCAUUAUCUGGAUCGGGGACAGUGCAUGGUAGGCAGUUUGACUGGGGCGGUCUCCUCCCAAAGCGUAACGGAGGAGUUCGAAGGUACGCUAGUUACGGUCGGACAUCGUGACGAUAGUGCAAUGGCAUAAGCGUGCUUAACUGCGAGACUGACAAGUCGAGCAGAUGCGAAAGCAGGACAUAGUGAUCCGGUGGUUCUGUAUGGAAGGGCCAUCGCUCAACGGAUAAAAGGUACUCUGGGGAUAACAGGCUGAUACCGCCCAAGAGUUCAUAUCGACGGCGGUGUUUGGCACCUCGAUGUCGGCUCAUCUCAUCCUGGGGCUGUAGCCGGUCCCAAGGGUAUGGCUGUUCGCCAUUUAAAGAGGUACGUGAGCUGGGUUUAAAACGUCGUGAGACAGUUUGGUCCCUAUCUUCCGUGGGCGCUGCAGAUUUGAGGAAGCCUGCUCCUAGUACGAGAGGACCGGAGUGGACACACCUCUGGUGUAUCGGUUGUCACGCCAGUGGCAUUGCCGAGUAGCUAAGUGUGGAAGAGAUAACCGCUGAAAGCAUCUAAGCGGGAAACUCGUUUCAAGAUGAGAUCUGCCGGGGCCUUGAGCCCCCUGAAGAGUCGUUCAAGACCAGGACGUUGAUAGGUCAGGUGUGGAAGCGCAGUAAUGCGUUAAGCUAACUGAUACUAAUUGCUCGUGCGGCUUGACCU